GGCGGGUUGCCAGAGUGGUCGAAUGGAGCCGACUGCAACUCGGCUGUUUGAACAUCGCAGGUUCGAAUCCUGUACCCGCCU
rnacentral:tRNA from 1 species